GACUGUAGGUGAAAGCUUACAUCUCUUCGGAGCAUUUUACGAGGUGCUGCAUGGUUGUCGUCAGCUCGUGCCGUGAGGUGUCGGGUUAAGUCCCAUAACGAGCGCAACCCUACCUUUAGUUGCCAUCAGGUAAUGCUGGGGACUCUAAAGGAACUGCCUACGCAAGUAGUGAGGAAGGCGGGGAUGACGUCAAAUCAGCAGGCCCUUACGUCCAGGGCUACACACGUGCUACAAUGGCCGAUACAGAGGGCAGCUACCUGGUGACAGGAUGCAAAUCUCCAAAGUCGGUCUCAGUUCGGAUCGGAGUCUGCAGCCCGACUCCGUGAAGUUGGAUUCGCUAGUAAUCGCGCAUCAGCCAUGGCGCGGUGAAUACGUUCCCGGGCCUU
rnacentral:rRNA from 1 species